rnacentral:rRNA from 1 species
CCUACGGGAGGCAGCAGUGAGGAAUAUUGGUCAAUGGACGAGAGUCUGAACCAGCCAAGUAGCGUGAAGGAUGACUGCCCUCUGGGUUGUAAACUUCUUUUAUAUGGGAAUAAAAUGUUCCACGUGUGGGCUUUUGUCUGUACCAUAUGAAUAAGGAUCGGCUAACUCCGUGCCAGCAGCCGCGGUAAUACGGAGGAUCCGAGCGUUAUCCGGAUUUAUUGGGUUUAAAGGGAGCGUAGGUGGAUUGUUAAGUCAGUUGUGAAAGUUUGCGGCUCAACCGUAAAAUUGCAGUUGAAACUGGCAGUCUUGAGUACAGUAGAGGUGGGCGGAAUUCGUGGUGUAGCGGUGAAAUGCUUAGAUAUCACGAAGAACUCCGAUUGCGAAGGCAGCUCACUGGACUGCAACUGACACUGAGGCUCGAAAGUGUGGGUAUCAAACAGGAUUAGAUACCCGGGUAGUC